rnacentral:rRNA from 1 species
CAGUCGCCGCGGUAAUACGUAGGGUGCAAGCGUUAAUCGGAACUACUGGGCGCAAAGCGUGCGCAGGCGGUUUGUUAAGACAGAUGUGAAAUCCCCGGGCUUAACCUGGGAACUGCAUUUGUGACUGGCAAGCUAGAGUCUGGCAGAGGGGGGUGGAAUUCCGCGUGUAGCAGUGAAAUGCGUAGAUAUGCGGAGGAACACCGAUGGCGAAGGCAGCCCCCUGGGCCAACACUGACGCUCAUGCACGAAAGCGUGGGGAGCAAACAGGAUUAGAUACCCGAGUAGUCCCUGUCUCUUAUAC